UACGUAGGGUGCAAGCGUUACUCGGAAUUACUGGGCGUAAAGCGUGCGCAGGCGGUUUUGCAAGACCGGUUUGAAAUCCCCGGGCUUAACCUGGGAAUGGCAUUGGUGACUGCACGGCUAGAGUGUGUCAGAGGGGGGUAGAAUUCCACGUGUAGCAGUGAAAUGCGUAGAGAUGUGGAGGAAUACCGAUGGCGAAGGCAGCCCCCUGGGAUAACACUGACGCUCAUGCACGAAAGCGUGGGGAGCAAACAGG
rnacentral:rRNA from 1 species